UACGGAGGGUGCAAGCGUUGCUCGGAAUUAUUGGGCGUAAAGGGUAGGUAGGUGGUCUCAUUUGUCUGGGGUGAAAGCCCUUGGCUCAACUGAGGAAGUGCAUCCGAAACUGGCAGGCUAGAGUACGUAAGAGGGUCGCGGAAUUCCCGGUGUAGAGGUGAAAUUCGUAGAUAUCGGGAGGAACACCGGUGGCGAAGGCGGCGACCUGGGACGAUACUGACGCUGAGGUGCGAAAGCGUGGGGAGCAAACAGG
rnacentral:rRNA from 1 species